UGAAAAUGAUUAUAAAUCAAUGAAAUUGAUGGAGUUUGGAUUGGAAUCCAAGUGACAAGUAUUAAUUAAUCACUGAAAUUACUAAAUCAUACAAAUCAUCAGCCUUGAUACUGCCUCGAUUAAUUAAGGGUCGUGGUCAAACUUCAGAUGAAGAAACGGGUAAGGA